CACCUCGUACUUCCCCAGCAGCACUCGGCUCUUCCCGUUGCCGCCGCCGGGCUUCGAGUCCAUUAACAAUGCCUCUUCUGUCAUUUGCGGUGACAUGCUACGUGUGCAAGUUCUUACUAUGAAAGCCUUACAAUAAUUGUGCCAUUACACAGAGAUACAAAAUCAGCUCAUAUUCCAUACCCAAAAGCAAGCAAGAUUUUGAUGCUAGUCACGCUUAGUCGAUCGGCCAAUUGAGUUUUAGAUGUUCCUUUCGCUGUCUCGGUGUUAAUUUAUUGAAGUGGGUGAUGAAGCUGAAAUAGUUUAUGCUGCGAUUGCAUUGACCUAAACUUAAUGAGAUAAAGUCUUAACAUUUUGAUGUUUGUUGCUAGUUGAUGUCGUAUUGGUAUCUUGCUGUACGUAAUUAAAGGUUUGUAUUUUAAUUCUCUGUUUUCUAUCAAGUUUUUGUACUUAUUGCUCUUCGACUAAAUUUGCAUUGCUUGCUAUGC